GAUGAAAACCUGCACCUGCAAUGGCUCUUUGGGGAAAAGAUUGGACACCCCUUGGCUUAAAAGCCGAAGAUGAUCACAGCACGGACUUCCCGCUCUCUUGCAUGCCGAACGAUUCCGGACACGGCCACUUAGCCGAGCUUGACCUUCACAUCCGAGCAGAACAGCGAGGCGCGUUACAGCGGCGCAGGCGAGUCGAAAUAUCCGCCGAUAUUAAGAAGCUUCACGGGAGGAGAUUAAGGUUCUCGAUUCGCCCGGAAUCCUUCUCAAUGGCCACUUGAAACCGAUCAUGGACUUUAGCAGUGGCUCAGCUGAAGUGUGCACUCCGGAGCUGACUGCACAGGAUCAGGACGAGGCCACGGCAACAUUUUUUGACAUCAAGGAGUCGGCUCGCCGAUGGACUUCACAGCCAGCCUGGAUCCUUCUUUCACUCAUUCCUCUUCUUUACAAUCAUCUAUUUUGUUGUUAUUUCAAAUUCAUCUUCCUCUUUUCCACCCCAAAUGAAAUAAAGUGCACUAGACUGAG